rnacentral:tRNA from 1 species
GCCCGUAUAGUAUAUUGGUUAGUAUACGACCCUGUCGAGGUCGUGGGUCGGGUUCGAUUCCCGGUGCGGGCG